UACAGAGGUCUCAAGCGUUGUUCGGAUUCAUUGGGCGUAAAGGGUGCGUAGGUGGCGCUGUAAGUCGGGUGUGAAAUUUCGGAGCUUAACUCCGAAACUGCAUUCGAUACUGCCGUGCUUGAGGACUGGAGAGGAGACUGGAAUUACGGUGUAGCGGUGAAAUGCGUAGAUAUCGUAAGGAAGACCAGUGGCGAAGGCGGGUCUCUGGACAGUUCCUGACGCUGAGGC
rnacentral:rRNA from 1 species